AGCUCUGAUAGCGUAUAUUAAAGUUGCUGUAGUUAAAAAGCUCGUAGUUGGAUCUCAGGUUUGAUACGGCAGUGCGGCUUUAUGGCCGUUACUGUUAGUGUCUGCCUUUCAGUGCUAGUAAGCCCCAUGGUGAUCUUAAUUGAUUGCUAUGUGUGGAAAUUGGCAAGUUUACCUUGAAAAAAUCAGAGUGCUUAAAGCAGGCCUUUGUGCUUGUAUGAUGGUGCAUGGAAUAAUAGAAUAGGACUUUGGUUCUAUUUUGUUGGUCUUCGGGACCAGAGUAAUGAUAAAUAGAGACUGUGGGGGGCCUUCGUAGUGCAGUGAUAGAGGUGAAAUUCUGAGACCAUUGCACGACGAACAACUGCGAAAGCAUUGGCCUACUACGUUUUCAUUAAUCAAGAAC
rnacentral:rRNA from 1 species